rnacentral:rRNA from 1 species
GUCUGUAUAGAGGUUGUUGAUGUACAGUCUGGCCUGCUCUCUGAAGUUUUAAAGGGCCGCGGUAUUUGGACCGUGCUAAGGUAGCAUAAUAAAUAGUCUUUUAAUUGGAGUCUAGAAUGAACGGUCGGACAUGAGGUAAGCUGUUUUAAUUGUAAAUUUUGAAUUUUACUUUUAAGUGAAAAGGCUUAAAUUAGACGGAGGGACGAUAAGACCCUAUAAAGCUUUAUAUUUUAUUUGUUAGUUUUGGUAUGUAUGGUUUUCUAUUCUUACAAAGCUAAGUAUUUCGUUGGGGCGACGAGAAUAUAAAUUUAAUAACUGUUUAUGAAAAAAAAAUAAAUUUUUUUAGGUGAAUUGAUCCUUUAUGAGGAUUAAAAGAAUCAAGUUACUUUAGGGAUAACAGCGUAAUUUUUCUUGAGAGUUCAUAUCGACAGAUGUAGUUGCGACCUCGAUGUUGAAUUAAAAUUUCCCCAAGAUGUAGCAGUUUUGGGGGUAGGUCUGUUCGACCUUUAAAAUUUUACAUGAUUUGAGUUCAGACCGGCGUGAG